CUCUAGCUGGAGAGCCUUCCUUUUGGAUCCCUUUCACAAGCCCAGGACACAGGUUACGUACAGAAAUGAAGGAAUGAACGAUCAUCACUUCAAAGAGGGACAGUUUUCUUAGGAUAAGGAUCAGCUCCUACCAGUUCAGCCCAAGGACUGAUCCCACCUGGAACACAAAGGUUUCAGUUUUCAAGAAAAUAGGAAAAAUGGGUCAACCUACAAUCAUUGCACCAUCCUCACAAGUGACAUAGGCAGCAGCAAGCAUGUCAUUCAAAGGAUGCCUCAAAAAUUCUCCUCUCUUGGCCAUGCCCGUUUCAAUUGUGCAUUAUCACUUCCUUAAGACUGAAAUAUUUUACCUUUUGUUAUCACCAGUGAUACGCCUCUCUGUCUUAGUCUACACUCUCUCAUUUCUGCAUUGUUCCCUUAUUGAUCAGAAAGCAUUUUUUCUUAAGAUCAGGAAGCCCAUUUCAUACUAGCAAAGAGGUAACUGGGAAUAGCAAGUAGUUUGUCAUAUUCGGUGGCACAGUAAAUGCAAAAAUGUACCCUUUGAUUAACUGGCAUUCUGUGGCAUCCUAUGGCAGUGAUGAAUCUAAAUGAAUAUUCCAAGUAGUACUUCUGUGAAGAUGCUAAUUCGACCCCUGAGAUUUCUUUUUCCUUAUUUAGCAUUUAAUAUAUAUAUAUAUAGAUAUAUGAAAUCAAUCCACUUUUGGUGCAUUUCUGAGCAGAAAUCAAAACUCCCUAACAAGUAGGCCAAAAGACUUUAGUGUAUCCUAUGACUUUCUUUCACUUCCCCCAAAACACGUGACUGAACACAAAUCCAGGGAGUUUGUGUGUAGCUUCCAGCUCUAGAAAACAGGCACCUGAAACAUAGCUCUUAGAUCAUGUAUCCUUCCUACAGUCUGAGACUAUUACUACAUCAUCCAUAAAUGUAGGUGCUAUGGUACAGGACAUAUAGUGUAAUGGAGAACUGAAUUAUAACAGAGUUUUAAUUG
ensembl:lncRNA